rnacentral:rRNA from 1 species
UACGGAGGGUGCGAGCGUUGUUCGGAAUCACUGGGCGUAAAGGGCGUGUAGGCGGUCCGCUAAGUCUGAUGUGAAAGCCCGGGGCUCACCCCCGGAAGGGCAUUGGAAACUGGCGGACUCGAGUCCCGGAGAGGAAGGUGGAAUUCCUGGUGUAGCGGUGAAAUGCGUAGAGAUCGGGAGGAACAUCUGUGGCGAAGGCGACUGCCUGGACCAGCACUGACACUGAGGCACGAAAGCGUGGGGAGCAAACAGG